GAAGAGGAAAAAGAGAAGCAUGCUCAACUUCUUGCCCUUCCGCCCCAUGGUUCAGAAGUUUUCAUUGGUGGGCUUCCAAAGGAUGCAUUAGAAGAUGAUUUGAGGGAUCUAUGUGACCCAAUAGGCGAAAUUUUUGAGAUAAGGUUAAUGAAAGAUAAGGACUCUGGUGAAAGCAAGGGCUUUGCUUUUGUUGCCUUCAAAUCAAAGGAGGUUGCUCAAAAGGCCAUUGAAGAGCUUCAUAGUAAGGAG
rnacentral:misc_RNA from 1 species